AGAGAAUGUCAGAAAGCUGAGGCCUCCCAGACCUCAAAUCCUCAGGUCCCUGAUGCCAGAAUCCACCACACGUCAUGAAGUGUCAGAGAUUGGCUUGAUGCAUAAUGGGUGAGUGAACCUACUUCAGGUUCGAUAUCAAAAGGAAGACAAGAAGAUGAAAAGGCAAGCCACCCUGAUAGCUGUGGCCCUUGAGUCUACUCAAGUUAACCUGAGGAAGAGAAGGAAUGCCAUGGGUCCUGCUACCCUUCUUUGGAAGUGGCUUUCUGCCCCUCUUUGCCCAUCAGGGACCAAGGGGUAGGGCAUGACUAUCCCUCCUGCCUGCUG
rnacentral:lncRNA from 1 species